rnacentral:rRNA from 1 species
CUCUUAAAAUCCCCUCCCCACAAAAAAACAAACAAACACCCCUACCUCAACACACACCCCCCAAAAACCCUCUCUCACCACCUUCAUUACCCUCCACCUACCCACAACCCUCCUUUCCCACACCCCACCGCCUUGUUUAAUGGCAGAAUCUUUGGAGAAAUCAUAGUUCUUGGGCUCUGGGGGAACUACGACCGCAAGGCUGAAACUUGAAGGAAUUGACGGAAGGGCACACCAGGGGUGGAGCCUGUGGCUUAAUUUGAAUCAACACGGGGAAACUUACCAGGACCAGAUGUUUUUUAUGACUGACAGGCUUCGGGUCUUCAGGAUAUGUUUUUGUGGUGCAUGGCCGUUGUGGUGCGUGGGUGACCUGUCUAGCGUGAUCAGCUAACAGUGGGCAUCCUUAAGUUGCCG